rnacentral:lncRNA from 1 species
CCUUGAUUCAGAGCACAGAUAACAAUCACUGUACUUGUUCACUUACAAAAAUAGCUCGCUUGUCAGAGCUGCACAGGGACUGGCGCCAGGGAAAUUCCGUGAGCGGAGGAACGGUUCAGAGAACUGUCUUUGGGUUUCAAGAGCUUCAUGGUCAUAGUUAUCUCAAGUUCACACCCAUCCCCUGGAGUGAUUUCUCUGAAGUUACUGGUGAGAAAUGCAGCUCUGAGAACACGCCACCUCCACACCGCCUCCACACCACCUCCACCCACUCUGGCCAUGCAGGAUCCGCCCCCUCUUCAGUAUCUUUGCUACAACUUCUGCUCUGUUUCACACAGCAGAAACAGCCAUGAGGCAGCUCUCAGUACCUUAGUAGGACCGGUGAUGCCUUUUUUUUUUUUUUUCCUUAGUCAUAUCUCCAAGCAGAGCAUCAUCACCAGCUUCUGAAUUGGCUUUGACGAACGUUCUUAGCUGUCAAGGAUCCUUUUAACUGUCACUUUGGGCAAGGUUAUGUUAUUGCAGACAUUUUGAAUAUUUAACAAAAAUAAUUUCUAUAGCAGUUUUUUAAAAAAAAUUUAUUGGAUUUGGUGUGUCCAAAGCUGGAAUAUGAUGAACCCAACCAAACCACCUCCUAGAAAGAUGGCUUCUUCAAAAGCAGCUGGGCAGCACUGAAUGCAUCUGGAACUCUUUCCUCUCAUUCAUUCCACCCCACAUGUUCCACCAGUCUUCAGCAUGGCUGUUGCAUCUGAUUGUUUUAUAGUACUCAAUUCUUCCUCUUCGUACUCACUGACAGUAACCUUCCUUGAUUAUGAUUUUCAAUUUGUGACUGAUCACCUUUUCCUUUCAAGAGCAGAGACUCAUCUUUGACCUCAAUGACUUCUCCUUUUCUGAGGCUGAACAUCUUCAAGAUUUAGGGUCAACUCCUCCUCUCUAAACACCUGCAAAAGCAUUUAAAAAUGAGUCAGUUCCAGGGCUUAGUUUUCCUUUAUUAUACCAAAUUUAUUCAUAAUACAUUAUGCAGGUGUUUUGAUGAGAAUCCAGAAACAUCUUGAGACACCAUAUUUCUCUGAAAUGUGAGAAUUUAAAACCAUCGCUGUUCCAGGACAAGUCUUGUGGAUAGAGCUUUUUAUUGCAUUCAUUUGCAUUAUUGUGUUCCCUUCUCAGAACUCCUGUCAAUUAACAACAGCUUGAUCUUGCAGUUGAGAUAGCAGAACCCAGAGAAAAUUCACCCCAAGUCACACACUUGCAAGAUGGUGGAGCCAGGACUAGACCCAGUGUUCUUUCUGCUAGAUCAUUCUGCCUUUUCAGAAUUAAGGACAGAUCAGACAAUAAGCUUAUUCCUGAUCGGGCAUAUGACAGGUUCGAGCUGGAGGGGACCCCUCUCUAUACCUAUUUCAACUCCACCUUCCUAGAUAUUCAGUAGAUGUAUCUAAUUAGGAAAAAUGCA